rnacentral:misc_RNA from 1 species
GAUGAAGAACGCAGCGAAAUGCGAUAAGUAAUGUGAAUUGCAGAAUUCCGUGAAUCAUCGAAUCUUUGAACGCACAUUGCGCCCCCUGGCAUUCCGGGGGGCAUGCCUGUCCGAGCGUCAUUUCUGCCCUCAAGCACGGCUUGUGUGUUGGGUGUGGUCCCCCCGGGGACCUGCCCGAAAGGCAGCGGCGACGUCCGUCUGGUCCUCGAGCGUAUGGGGCUCUGUCACUCGCUCGGGAAGGACCUGCGGGGGUUGGUAACCACCAUGUUUACCACGGUUGACCUCGGAUCAGGUAGGAGUUACCCGCUGAACUUAAGCAUAUCAAUAAGCGGAGGA